CAGUCGCCGCGGGAAUACGUAGGUGGCAAGCGUUGUCCGGAAUUAUUGGGCGUAAAGGGCUCGCAGGCGGUUUCUUAAGCCUGAUGUGAAAGCCCCCGGCUCAACCGGGGAGGGUCAUUGGAAACUGGGAAACUUGAGUGCAGAAGAGGAGAGUGGAAUUCCACGUGUAGCGGUGAAAUGCGUAGAGAUGUGGAGGAACACCAGUGGCGAAGGCGACUCUCUGGUCUGUAACUGACGCUGAGGAGCGAAAGCGUGGGGAACGAACAGGAUUAGAUACCCGGGUAGUCCCUGUCUCUUAUAC
rnacentral:rRNA from 1 species